CCAUCAAAAGUUAGACCCCCGUCAUACAUAGCAAGAAUGUGCAGGAAUGAGCCUGACACGGCAAAAAUGGCAAUAAUCCAGACACAGUCGGGAGAGAAAGAGGCGUAU